rnacentral:rRNA from 1 species
GAUGAACGCUAGCGGCAGGCUUAACACAUGCAAGUCGAGGGGUAACAUUACAGCUUGCUGUAGAUGACGACCGGCGCACGGGUGCGUAACGCGUAUACAAUUUACCUUAUACUAGAGAAUAGCCCGAAGAAAUUUGGAUUAAUGCUCUAUAGUAUCUUAAAACGGCAUCGUUUAAAGAUUAAAGCUCCGGCGGUAUAAGAUGAGUAUGCGUGAUAUUAGUUUGUUGGUGAGGUAACGGCUCACCAAGACUACGAUAUCUAGGGGUCCUGAGAGGGAGAUCCCCCACACUGGUACUGAGACACGGACCAGACUCCUACGGGAGGCAGCAGUGAGGAAUAUUGGGCAAUGGAGGCAACUCUGACCCAGCCAUGCCGCGUGAAGGAAGACGGCCCUAUGGGUUGUAAACUUCUUUUAUAGAGGAAGAAACGCAGAUACGUGUAUCUGUUUGACGGUACUCUACGAAUAAGGACCGGCUAACUCCGUGCCAGCAGCCGCGGUAAUACGGAGGGUCCAAGCGUUAUCCGGAAUCAUUGGGUUUAAAGGGUCCGUAGGCGGACAAUUAAGUCAGAGGUGAAAGCCCACAGCUCAACUGUGGAACUGCCUUUGAUACUGGUUGUCUUGAGUUAUAGUGAAGUAGAUAGAAUAUGUAGUGUAGCGGUGAAAUGCAUAGAUAUUACAUAGAAUACCGAUUGCGAAGGCAGUCUACUAACUAUAUACUGACGCUGAUGGACGAAAGCGUGGGGAGCGAACAGGAUUAGAUACCCUGGUAGUCCACGCCGUAAACGAUGGAUACUAGUUGUUAGAUUUACUUUUAGUAAGUUUAGUGACCAAGCGAAAGUGAUAAGUAUCCCACCUGGGGAGUACGGUCGCAAGAUUGAAACUCAAAGGAAUUGACGG